rnacentral:rRNA from 1 species
GUGGGGAAUAUUGGGCAAUGGGGAAAACCCUGACCCAGCAACGCCGCGUGAAGGAAGAAGGUUUUCGGAUCGUAAACUUCUAUCCUUGGUGAAGAUAAUGACGGUAGCCGAGAAGGAAGCCCCGGCUAACUACGUGCCAGCAGCCGCGGUAAUACGUAGGGGGCAAGCGUUGUCCGGAAUGAUUGGGCGUAAAGGGCGCGUAGGCGGCCUGGUAAGUCUGGAGUGAAAGUCCUGCUUUUAAGGUGGGAAUUGCUUUGGAUACUGUCGGGCUUGAGUGCAGGAGAGGUAAGUGGAAUUCCCGGUGUAGCGGUGAAAUGCGUAGAGAUCGGGAGGAACACCAGUGGCGAAGGCGACUUACUGGACUGUAACUGACGCUGAGGCGCGAAAGUGUGGGGAGCAAACAGGAUUAGAAACCCUGGUAGUCC